AAAGGUUUUAUUGCUUCUAGUGACCUUUAUUUGAGAGUAGUCUGACAAGACAGUAGGUAAUGAGAGAGGGGAAAGACAUGCGGAAAGGGUCAUCCUUAUAUGGGUUGUGCUUUACCACUGCGCCACCACAGCAUGCCUAAAUAUCCCAUUUUUAUUUAUUGGACGGAUAUCAAUAAGUUAAAAAUGACUAGAAUAUGUGCAAAUUCUCGUCUUGACAGCGUCAACCUCCGGAUGAAGAAGGCCUAUACCAAUGUAUAAGUUGAUGUUAGAGUAGAAAUAUUGUGAAUCCCUAAAAAAGUUAUUAAAGUUUGGUGAUAUUGAUAUUAGUGCAGAUAUAUUAUGCAUCCCUAUAAAACAUGACUAAAAUUUUCCAAAGCCAAUAAGAGUAUUAAUAUAUUGUGUGUCCCGAUAAAACAACUACAUCUGGCCAAAACUGAUGUUAGUACCGAUAUAUUGUGAAUCCCUAUAAAAAAUUAUGUAAAAUAGGUCAAUAUUGAGGCCAAUUCAGCCACCAAGUGGUAGGCCAUGUAAACUGGCGGAGCAGGGUUAGCGGAUGCUGAGCGCAUUGUGCAAAGAGGCUGACAACUUUCUGCAGAGUAAAUCACUACAAACCUUCAAACUUCAUGUGGGCCUCAUGAACAGGCCCAUCCAAGCCAUGCAUCCAUGGCUUGGAUGAUGCAUGCAUCCAAGCCAUGCAUCAUCAAGUGAUGUAAAGCAUCGGAUGCAGUGGUGUAAAGCACGCGGCCACUGAACUCUAGAGCAGGGGAAGCACGUCCUCUGGAGUGACAAAUUGCGCUUCUCCAUCUGGCAAUCCGAUAGAUGAGUCUAGGUUUGGCGGUUGCCAGAACAAUGGUACUUUUCUGACUGUAUUGUGCCAAAUGUAAAGUUUGGUGGAGGGGGGACUAUGGUGUGAAGUUGUUUUUCAGGAAGUCCAUAAAGACAUGGAGGGCAGAGUCUGGUGUGGGUGAACUUGGCUGGCCUGAACAGAGUCCUGACUUCAACCCAAUAGAACAACUUUGCGAAAUGUUUCUUUUCUUAGGUUUUUCUAACACUCAGCUCUACACACAUUUCUAAAGAUUCAGUUUUGAUUAAGUUCAGAAAGAUAUUUAAUUUUCAUGCUGUCAGGACAUACAAUACAAUCCAGUCUUUCAUACUUUAUAAUUACAAAAUAUCCUCCCCCCACAGCUCAGGAGUUGGCAUAAAGGCCUGUUAAAACACAUCCAGCUGGACAGAUACUUGAAUGGAAGACACUUGACAUAUACAAUCCUACCAAAUAUUGCUUCCAAGCAGUCCUUUGAUGACAAUAUUGAUUUCCAUACAAUUACACUGCGAUAUCAACUAUGAUUCAAUAUGUUAUGCAGCUCGUUGUCUGACUGCAUUGUGCCACGGAUCAAUUUGGCUGUUAGAUCUAGAGGAAAAUAAAACACACAAUAUUAUCAAAAGUAUUCGCUCAGCUCCCUGUACACACCUAGAUCACGUAAGCAUUUAAAAUACAGGAAGUCAAUGAGGUGAGUGAACGCCAAUUUGGAUGUGAUAAGUAAUAUUUUGCCUCAUCACAUAUUUCAACAUGGUCUUCGUAAAUCUGUUGAAAAACCUUGCAGGAAAGUGCCGCAAAUGCAUAAUGUAGACGCUCUGUACAGUUCUGCAAGCUGUGCACACCAAAUUAGGCCAUCAUUUUUCAAGGUUAGCAAUGCAAAACGAGGACGCAUGACGUGGUUGGGCUGCCGUUGACUUAUAAUCACAGUCCGAAGACCCACACCAGGUAACAGGAGUUCAUCUCUGUUAUAAGUCAAGUGCAAUGAACUUGUACAUCUCUGAUUUGUGAACUGGAUUUUGUUUUGUGACAUUACAUUAAUAAGGUUUUUGAAAUGGCUCAUUUUCUAGACAGCAAAAAUAUUGUCAUUGCCAAAAAUUUCAGGGUAGAUUUUUUUAAGUGCUUGGGUUGUUUUCAGAAGCAGUAAAGACAAAAUUGGAAGUACAAAACAUGUAAAUUAUAAAUUUUGCAUAACAUGUCCCCUUUAAUAAGCAGUUAUAAAACAGAAGCCUUUUACAGUGUGUAAACUUUUUAACUGAAGAAAAUUAACUAAAGUUUAAAAAGUGAAUAUAACAAAAAAGUUUACAUUAAAAUGUACAAAAGCCAUUUGCUGUAAGUGCAAAGUUCACAUAAGUGACACAUGCCCCACUGCAUGUGUGAUUUGAAAUGGUUUGGGUUUACAGCUCAGGUUUGCAGAACCACAAAAAAUCUGCACCUACCAUUCCUAUGUAUGCUUUUUCUCAAAAUGAUCCAACAAACUGAACUGCUCCAGCCUCCCUUCCAAUCAACCAUUUAAAUAGCUUAAUGGUGUGGCCAACAACUCCAUGAGGGUCAGAGAAUCAGCUUUUCCCAACCUCCACUGAGCUGGUUGGCAUUGUCUAGGGGCAUUCCGGACCAAUCCAAACAAACAGCACACACGAACAGUGAGGAAAAGCUUAAACUAACAUUUGGUUCUCAUUUAAAACAUGGGGUUAUACACGGGAGCUGUGCCCUAAGAAGAAUUUGGAUCAUAUGAGGCAAAAGCACAUAUGCUUGCAAGACUUGGCCUUUUUUUUCUCAACAGGAAGACUGUAUCAUUUUCUCAGCUUGUGGAAAACUAGAGGAAAGGUUACACUUUGAUUCUAGCUAAAUAGAAGGGAUCAAACUUUUUAAAUUAGUAAAAUUCAGGUAAGCUAAAUCUCUCUACCAGCUUCGCAGACCUACAAGCAUAUUUGCCCAUUUUUAUUUGGAGAAUUGAAAAACAUCUGUCUGGCACUUAAAAUUGACUGAGCCAUUCUAACACAACCCAACCAUUCUAUCUUUGGCAGGAUGUUUUGGUGCUUCUGUCUUGCCCGUAGGUGAACCUCUACACCAGUUUUAGGUGUUCCGCAGCCGCUAACACGUUUUCUUGAGGAUUCCUCUCCAGCAACCAAACGCCUAACACAAUGUUUCCCAACCCUGGUCCUCAAGGCACACUGCUCUGCAUGAUUUAGAUGUUUCCUUCCUUCAGCCCAGGUCAUGUUUUCUGACUGGCCAGAAAUUCAUCCUGAAAAAUCCAGCUCUACCACACAAAACCCAGAUGGAGAACUGAAUGGUGAUGACAACUGAUCAGAAUAGUGUAGGAAGACAAUGGCUAGGCUUUUAGGCUUGAGGAGUGCAUGAAUAAGAGAUGUGCUGUUGAUGGAGUCUCAUACUGGGGCAAAACAGUAGUCUUAAGUAUUAGAGAAAAGUGAUGUUUUGAAGCUUAUCUCUUUUUAGUCAGGGCAGAUUCAGUUUGUACUCUCCAUAGUUUGUGGAGAUUUUAAGGUGAAAAAUCAUUGGAUUGGGGAACAUGAAACCUUCAGUUUUUUUGUAAGAGCUUCAGUGAUGAAAUGUUAUUUCAAAUGAACACCAAUAAAAAAGUUUUUUUAAACACUAUUUUGCCAAUGUUCAAUGCCUAAAAGGUAUAGAAAGUUCACUCCCUUGGAUGUUUUAACCCUUUUUAUUGCUUUUACAAAUCCGUCAUGAACAACAAAGCUUUUUGGGGGGGGAAAAAAAAAAAAAAAAA